rnacentral:lncRNA from 1 species
GUCUCUCUGAUCCCCUCGCGGGUGCAACACACCAAACAAUCGAGCCUGCGUGCUGCCGAAGCAGGGCGCCGAGUCCAUGCGAACUGCCAUCUGAUCCGCUCUUAUCAAUGAAGCAGCCGAUCAUGGCGGAUGGCCCCCGGUGCAAGAGGCGCAAACAAGCCAAUCCCAGGAGGAAAAACGCCUUGGAGUCAGAAAUGAGCACUCGGAGCGGGAGAUGCCCUGCUGCUGCUUGCCACCGGUGCGGCCCGUUUGUAACUUGCAAAGUUUGUUGCUUUUGCCCCUGAUUCGGGCAGCGGGUCCUGGGAUGCUCCUGCUUCCCUCCUGCCUCCCACGGAGCCCGGGAAGAGGGUCUGCCUCCCCAUCCCGCCACCUUCCAGCAUCAGCCUCUGAAAAAUCUCACAGAGACAUGCACGUUGUAGCAAAAAUCAAAUCCGGAAACUGCUUGUUUCAGAGAAAGAAAUGAAGUUGUCUUUUAAAGAAAAACUGAAUUAGGAGGAGAGAAAAGGGAAAUAGGAGAAGAAAGGAAAAGUUAAAUUUGAUUUUUCUCCAGAGUUU